rnacentral:tRNA from 2 species
UUCAUAAUUAUAAUUAAACUGCAAUAAUAGCUUAAAUUUAGAGCAUUGGUCUUGUAAGCCGAAAGUGAGUAUUAUUUCUCUUAUUGCU